rnacentral:rRNA from 1 species
AGAGUUUGAUCCUGGCUCAGGAUGAACGCUGGCGGCGUGCCUAACACAUGCAAGUCGAACGGUCCUUCGGGACAGUGGCGCACGGGUGAGUAACACGUAGCUGACGUGCCCGCAAGCGCGGGAUAACGAGCGGAAACGUUCGCUAAGACCGCAUAAGCUCCCGGUGGUUAGAGGACGGGGAGAAAAGGCGCAAGCGGCUUGCGGAGCGGGCUGCGGACCAUCAGGUAGUUGGUGGGGUAAAGGCCUACCAAGCCGACGACGGAUAGGGGGUCUGAGAGGGUGGUCCCCCACACUGGGACUGAGACACGGCCCAGACUCCUACGGGAGGCAGCAGUGAGGAAUAUUGGUCAAUGGGCGCAAGCCUGAACCAGCGACGCCGCGUGGGUGACGAAGGUCUUCGGGUCGUAAAGCCCUUUUCUGCGUGACGAGGCAGGACGGUAGCGCAGGAAUAAGUCUCGGCUAACUACGUGCCAGCAGCCGCGGUAAAACGUAGGAGACGAGCGUUAUCCGGAAUUACUGGGCGUAAAGAGCGUGUAGGCGGGUUGACAAGUGGGUCGUGAAAGCUUCCGGCUAAACUGGGGAGAGGGCGGUUCAGACUGUCAGCCUGGAGUUCGACAGAGGGGUAUGGAAUUCCGGGUGUAGUGGUGAAUUGCGUAGAGAUCCGGAGGAACACCAGUGGCGAAGGCGAUGCCCUGGGUCGAAACUGACGCU